rnacentral:rRNA from 1 species
UACGAAGGGUGCAAGCGUUACUCGGAAUUACUGGGCGUAAAGCGUGCGUAGGUGGUUUGUUAAGUCUGUUGUGAAAGCCCCGGGCUCAACCUGGGAAUGGCAAUGGAUACUGGCAGGCUAGAGUGCGGUAGAGGGUAGUGGAAUUCCCGGUGUAGCGGUGAAAUGCGUAGAGAUCGGGAGGAACACCAGUGGCGAAGGCGGCUACCGGGACCAGCACUGACACUGAGGCACGAAAGCGUGGGGAGCAAACAGG